ACCACAUGUGCAAGAUUUGAAUGAAGGCUCGCCUUAUCUCUGUGAUACAUUUAUUUUUUUAACCUAUUUCAAUGACUUGUGCCUAGUGGAAAUCAGGAACUUAGCACACAGCGGAUACUUAGUUUUGGCUUUGUUUAUUACACGUCAGUCCCAGUGUGGUGAAUAUAAGUGCAAAGGGGGGGACAUUUCUAUCCCAGACCCCAAUCCCUUUAUUCUUUUCUUCCAGGCCCCAUCCAUCUCCUAAGCAAAAGCUUCUUCCUUGAGCCCAUGGAGAGCUUGGGUCGCCUCCUGAAGGAGUGAAAUCCGGGAGCGCCCUCUAGAGGACAGCGGGGCUCAAAACCUCAGCUCACAAGAUGUGUGCAGUUAAUUUGUUUGUUCCUCCAGAGAACUGCAGAACAAGCCACCUAUGGUCUUGAGACCUCAGCAGACACCAGGGGAAAAAGGCAGGAAGAGUCCCUAAUGUGUAAAUGUGCCUUGCAGCUGGUGGCAUUCUCUACUGAAGCCACAGUCCCUGCACAAAUGUCCCUUGAAGAGCGGGGAGCGUAUUGAUGUCCUUGACUGAUUUCACCAACCCUUCUGUUGAACCACGGAUGCUGAAAGCCAGGGUCUGAGUCGGGUGUGGAAAGAACAAACCUGAAGGUACAAGAACGAAGUUCAACUGACUUUAGGAAGCAACUAAUUCCUAUCCAGGUCCUUCUUCAGCAUGGAUGGGCUUCCUCCUAGGAGCCAACAUGACCCCUCACCUUUUGCUUUCCUUCUCCUCCCAUGUGAAAAGCCAUUUGGAGAGUUUGGAAGAAGGAGCCUUGUGUACUCAGCUCAACCAGGUAAACCUGUUUCUGUACGCCUUCGGGGAGAAGAUACCUGGUUUGCGCUCCUCGCUGUAGGGUAACUAUUCUGUCUUGCUGAGUCAGGGACUGGAUUCUGGAGGAGGAGGUGUUUUUAGUU
rnacentral:sRNA from 1 species